ACUGUUGUCUUGGAGAUAAUCAAGUCAUGGCCAACUCUUCUGGAAGGAAUUAGCACAGUCGGGCAAGUAUCUUGAAAUCCACUGAAGUCCUAUUUUUGCCAUGGACUGGAAGGAAGGCUUAAGUAAAAGCUAUUGCUACUUCUGUGAAUUUAUUUUUGCUUAGGUAAUGGAUUCACUGGAUUACAGUCUGGUCUAAGAAUGUCAAAUUCAGAAACUAUGCAACUUCAAUGUGGCAAAGACCUCGUAAAGAGCCAACGAACAGAAGAAGAAAAGAAUCGACCCCAAGGCUGAAGAACUGUUAUCCCUCUGCAGUACAUGGGGGUUUGAGCUCACGUCAAUGUGCCUGACCUAAGGGCAAAUGGAGCUAAGCAGGAGGGAGAAUUAGACACUUGCCACGGCUUGGAGACAGGGUCUACUGCUCUCUGCUGAACCAGAGGAAAGAACACACUGGCUCCUGAACCUUCGCAGGAAGACAAGGCGAGGGCUGCUGGGUGCCCGUCGCUGCUCACAGCACAGAACGUCCCACUCCUCAGACUCUUUGUCCCCGUCCUAAGACUGUCCUUCACUUGGUCCAUCCAAUCCAAAAUAUGGGCAUACGAAACACACCUCAUCCUUCACACACACAACAUGCUCAACCUUCACUAGCCACGUGACUUUCUUUCUCACAUCAUCCUGAAUUUGCUUUUCUGAAAUUUACUUUUCAAUCUUCUGACUUUUCUUCAUACCUAAGAAGACUGGACAAAGUGCUUGAAAAGCAAAUGGAAACAUUUUAUGAAUAACUACGCAAAGGAAAGACAUAUAAAUAUUUUUAAAGUUUCCCUUCUACAGAAAUGAGCUUAAGUCAACACUACAGUUGCCACUAAGUGUAAGGAUUCGUGAAGGGGAAAACGACGGACUCCCUUCCCUCUGUUCUUCUCAAGUAAUGCAAAUUAGAGUGCCUGGAAUAAGGGGACCAAGGCCUGAGAUCAAGGAUAAAGUGGUGUCCGCCAACAACCUCUUGUUUGUGUUUUGAUCACCAUCAUUAUUCUAAUAAAGGAAGCUGAAAGUUGUA
ensembl:lncRNA CELF2-AS2 CELF2 antisense RNA 2